rnacentral:rRNA from 1 species
AUUGAACGCUGGCGGCAUGCUUUACACAUGCAAGUCGAACGGUAACAGGCCGCAAGGUGCUGACGAGUGGCGAACGGGUGAGUAAUGCAUCGGAACGUGCCCAGUCGUGGGGGAUAACGCAGCGAAAGCUGUGCUAAUACCGCAUACGAUCUAUGGAUGAAAGCGGGGGACCGUAAGGCCUCGCGCGAUUGGAGCGGCAGAUGUCAGAUUAGGUAGUUGGUGGGGUAAAGGCUCACCAAGCUAACGAUCUGUAGCUGGUCUGAGAGGACGACCAGCCACACUGGGACUGAGACACGGCCCAGACUCCUACGGGAGGCCGCAGUGGGGAAUUUUGGACAAUGGGCGCAAGCCUGAUCCAGCAAUGCCGCGUGCAGGAAGAAGGCCUUCGGGUUGUAAACUGCUUUUGUACGGAACGAAAAGGUUUGGGUUAAUACCCUGGGCCGAUGACGGUACCGUAAGAAUAAGCACCGGCUAACUACGUGCCAGCCGCCGCAGUAA